UGUAGGUUUAUUAUGAAUACUAAUGUUACAGUUAUAGGUGAGAUUAAUUUAAAGCUAUUUAUUCGUAUUAUUAAGGUCUUGGUAUGUUUCGGACACUUUACAUUAAUUAUAUUUUGCUAUCGUCCUAAUUUCGACCUAGGUAUAGGCUUAAGCCAGUGAAAUUGCUCUAUUUUAUGUUCAUAAGUGGGGAGUUUAAAUUAAAUAAAAUCUCAAUUGCUGUAGAUAUAAAGUAUCGUUAUAAUAUUCGUCCAAUGGACUUAAAAAUUAUAGAAUAUCCCUUCAUAGUUCAUCUGAAUAAGGUAGUAAUAGGCCUACAAGAAAGUAAAUAAUAGUAAAAAUUUGCACUAGUUUAAUAUAGUCACAUUCAACGGGCAUUGUUCCAGUCCAGGUUCAAAGAAAAAAAAAUCUAAUAAAAGAUGAGAAUAUAAGUAUUUUUAUAGGAUUAAACGUUGCGGGGAUAGUCUUAUUUUCAUCUUGUAGUAAAAAGGGGAAAAUAAACGAGAUUCUGAAGAAAGAGCUAAAGCAACUUAUUUGGGAUUGAGCGUAAAAUAGCUUACGCAAACAGAAUAUACCACUCUGGCUGGAUAUGAGCUAGAAUUACUAAAAAGUUGGCUGGAAUAAAGUUUCCAGGAUCUGCUAGUAAUCAGGGGAGUAAGAAACUAGUCCUCCUAUGAGACAAAAAAAACAACCCCGAAUCCAAAAGCAUCCUUAAUGGUGUAGUAGGGGUCAGAGGGGAUCUUAUGGUAAUUAAUUGGGACACCUGAAGGAUUUGAAGAUCCCGUAGAGAGGAGAAAGGUUUUAUGAGCUAUGCCCCCUACCGAGGAUAGGAUGGGAGUUAGGUAGUGUAAAGCGAAGAAUCGCCUUAAAAUGGUUUUAUCUACCCUAAAUCCCCCCUCCAGUCAAACGACAAUUUUGUCCCCAAUCGCUGGGAUAACCGAAAAAAAGGUUAGUAAUAACUGUGGCCCCAGAAGGAUAUCUGCCCUCAGGGUAAAACGUAUCCCAAAAAAGAUCUUGCUAUAAUCAGAAUAAAAAUUAAAGACCCUUCUAUUCAAAGAGGUGUUAGUUUAUAAGAAGAAUAGUAAAUCCCUCGGCCUCUGUAUAUGUACAGGCAUAUAAAGAACAAUCUUGCAAUAUUUCUGUAGAUGGCCGAAUUCCUCACCCUUAGUUAACGUCUCGCAUAAUAUGGUCGACUGAUAAAAAUACGGUAAAAACUUCUCCAGAGUAAUGUAUUGCUAAAAAGAUUCCUGUUAGGAUUUGAGUGAUAAGACAGAGUCCUAAUAAAGAGCCGAAGUUUCAACCUGGAGUAAAAUUAGCAGGGGUGGGAAGUGUAAAGAGAUGGUUAUGUAUAGAAACGUAUUUAUAGGAAUUCAUUAGUAUUAGCUAACGUGCGUUAAUUAUAGAAAUUAAAUGUAAGUAAAACUUUUAAGCUAUAAUUAAUAAGGGUGAUAAAUAAUUUUAAUAUUAUUUCUGUACUUAUUUAUAUUCAUUAAAUGUAGGUUAAUGUGGUUAAAUACAAAUACAAGUUAGAGACAUUCUUAUUUUUUAUAGGUUAUCUAUAAAGCUAAUAAUUAGAAUUUAUUUUAGAUUUGAUGAGUAUAGCUUAUGGUUGAAAUAGUUAUCCCUACUAGCAAUCGAUUUUUUUUAAUUCCUUCAAAAAUCGAUUUGUAUUACAGAGGCUAGCAGCAAAUGUAAAGGUGAAGUUGAAUACUAUUUUUAUGUAUGUAGAUUAGUAACUCCAAUUUACAUAGUAAUGUCUAAUAUAAAUCUUUAAGCAAUGUCAACCAGUACUCAAGAGGUCCAAGUCCAAGAAUAUAUCUUUAAUUUUAAUUAUUUAUUUGUUAACGCUUGAAGGAAGAGAGGUUGAUGUAUAUUAUUAAUAAAUAACUCCUGCAAAAAUAACCAUAUGUAUAUUAUUUAAAUCUUGUAAAAUAAAAUUUAUGGUGAGGUAAUUAGAGAACAUCAAGCCCAUCAUUAAGAUCAUUGUUCUUAAAGAUAUCUUUCCUCCCAGCUUCCCAGAUGUUAAUCUGCUGUACUUCUGUAUAUGGGUUGCGGAUUAGAAGGACUCUUAUAGGUAAUCCCACAUCACCAAUAACUCCCUCAUCAAGUCCAUCACGGAGGUCUUCGCCCGUUUCGAAAGGGAGGACUGUGUUACUGUUCCAGGGUCAACAGCAGCCUGAAAGAUAUUAUUGAGCCAAAUGUUGAUUUUAUUAGAUAGCUUGUCCAUUCUAUGUAUAAGAAAUAUAAGUUUUUAAAUUAUUCUAA
rnacentral:lncRNA from 1 species